rnacentral:rRNA from 1 species
UACGUAGGGUGCGAGCGUUGUCCGGAAUUAUUGGGCGUAAAGAGCUCGUAGGCGGUGUGUCACGUCGGCCGUGAAAACCUGGGGCUUAACUCUGGGCGUGCGGUCGAUACGGGCAUCACUAGAGUUCGGCAGGGGAGACUGGAAUUCCUGGUGUAGCGGUGAAAUGCGCAGAUAUCAGGAGGGAACACCGGUGGCGAAGGCGGGUCUCUGGGCCGAUACUGACGCU